rnacentral:rRNA from 1 species
GAUGAACGCUGGCGGCGUGCCUAAUACAUGCAAGUCGAGCGAACGGACGAGAAGCUUGCUUCUCUGAUGUUAGCGGCGGACGGGUGAGUAACACGUGGAUAACCUACCUAUAAGACUGGGAUAACUUCGGGAAACCGUAGCUAAUACCGGAUAAUAUUUUGAACCGCAUGGCUCAAAAGUGAAAGACGGUCUUGCUGUCACUUAUAGAUGGAUCCGCGCUGCAUUAGCUAGUUGGUAAGGUAACGGCUUACCAAGGCAACGAUGCAUAGCCGACCUGAGAGGGUGAUCGGCCACACUGGAACUGAGACACGGUCCAGACUCCUACGGGAGGCAGCAGUAGGGAAUCUUCCGCAAUGGGCGAAAGCCUGACGGAGCAACGCCGCGUGAGUGAUGAAGGUCUUCGGAUCGUAAAACUCUGUUAUUAGGGUAGAACAUAUGUGUAAGUAACUGUGCACAUCUUGACGGUACCUAAUCAGAAAGCCACGGCUAACUACGUG